GAUGAAGAACGUAGCAAAAUGCGAUAAGUAAUGUGAAUUGCAGAAUUCAGUGAAUCAUCGAAUCUUUGAACGCACAUUGCGCCCGCUGGUAGUCCGGCGGGCAUGCCUGUUCGAGCGUCAUUUCAACCCUCAAGCCCCCGGGUUUGGUGUUGGGGAUCGGCUCUGCCCUUCUGGGCGGUGCCGCCCCCGAAAUACAUUGGCGGUCUCGCUGCAGCCUCCAUUGCGUAGUAGCUAACACCUCGCAACUGGAACGCGGCGCGGCCAUGCCGUAAAACCCCAACUUCUGAAUGUUGACCUCGGAUCAGGUAGGAAUACCCGCUGAACUUAAGCAUAUCAAUAAGCGGAGGA
rnacentral:misc_RNA from 1 species